UNAUCGGCUUAAGAUGAGCCCGCGUUGGAUUAGCUAGUUGGUGGGGUAAAGGCCUACCAAGGCGACGAUCCAUAGCUGGUCUGAGAGGAUGAUCAGCCACACUGGGACUGAGACACGGCCCAGACUCCUACGGGAGGCAGCAGUGGGGAAUAUUGGACAAUGGGCGGAAGCCUGAUCCAGCCAUGCCGCGUGAGUGAAGAAGGCCUUAGGGUUGUAAAGCUCUUUCACCGGUGAAGAUAAUGACGGUAACCGGAGAAGAAGCCCCGGCUAACUUCGUGCCAGCAGCCGCGGUAAUACGAAGGGGGCUAGCGUUGUUCGGAUUUACUGGGCGUAAAGCGCGCGUAGGCGGAUAGAUAAGUCAGAGGUGAAAUCCCGGGGCUCAACCCCGGAAUUGCCUUUGAUACUGUUUAUCUUGAGUGCAGAAGAGGUAAGUGGAAUUCCGAGUGUANAGGUGAAAUUCGUAGAUAUUCGGANGGAACACCAGUGNC
rnacentral:rRNA from 2 species